UAAUCCUCUCGUUCGCUACUGUUCUCUGCUUGCCUUUCCGCAUUGCAUUCUCGCGAGAGGACGUUCAUCUGUUCCUAGAUCUGCAAAUGUGCCUCAGAUCUCUAAACGAGUCUCUCGAUCAAUGGACUUCCCCGAUGGAAGUUCAGGAGACUAGCAUUUAAAGGUUCCUGUAGAUAGAAGUGCUCUUUUGCGAAGAGAUCAUCAACAUCUUAUAUAUCAUAACAAAAGGAUGGUUCAGUAUGCAAUUGACACUCAUUUAGUCUAACUUGUUAUGAAUGAACUUGUUUGUCAAUUACAUGGAUGACUAUCUUACUUUGGUAGCUCUGCCUGAUAGUGAAGAAUUCAGAUCUAUUGAGUCUGCAGGGAUGUUUUUAGUCAAUUAGUUUCUUAGAUCCAGUUUGAAUCAGGUUAUGUAAUGACAAAGUGUAUGCUGAAUUUACAGUAUUUUAUGUUGUCAAAUGAGUUGCCAUCCUUAUACAGGGUUAUAGGAAGCUUUUAAUCUAUUUUUUUUAUUUUAAUUACUUUUGUAGUCCUAAUUUGUUUAUAGGAUAGUUUGGAAAACUUGAUUAGACAGUUUCAGAGGCCUCUUCAGGUAAGAAUUAAUGGAUGAUGAAAUUUUUUAUAAGGAACUUCUUUAAAGGCUUUCUUUCUUUGGGUACGGUUGAGAUAAAGUAUAUAUAGUAGAGGUUAUGUAUGAAUUAGAAACAAUGAGUUUAUAUGACUGAUUUUACAGAAAUAAAAAUACUUCUAUGAUUUUGAUAAACUUUACUUUCUUUUCUUCAGAAAACCCUAUCAUUCAUCAAGAUAUCAUAUAUAAAUCUACCAUAUUUUAUUGUCUAAAUACUAACAGAUAUUUGAUGCUCUUUUUACUUUUAAAGUAAGCUGCAAUUGAUAAAGAGCAGGCUGCUAGGAAAGAAACAUGCAAUGUUGCUGUGAAUUUCCAGGGAAUGAGGUAUGCAUCUGCUAAUUGGAAAUUAGUUUGUGUAUUUAUGGCUUAGAAAAUAUGUUUUUUUGUUUUUUACUUUAAGCUAGUUGGUGUUGGUGGCUUGUUAAUUACUUCUCUACUCUGGCAAGAAAAUAAAUAUUUUGGUUGUUUGCAUACUGUAGUCGUCGGAACAUGGAUCCUUUUGAUGCCCAUUCUUGGGUAGUGAUGAUAAAUCCUAUUGUCAGGAAAGACUUGACUGAUUCACUUGGGUGCAUGUUGCUAUAUACGCUGUGAGAACUCCAUUCUAAAUCCUAAUGAGACAUGUCUGCUGGAAUGUGAAGUCUGUUUAAAUUUCCAUGAGGUUUAGCCAUUUAACAACCUUGUAUUGUCCAUAAUUGCCUUAUAUGAAGUUUUCCUGAAAAUGGCUGAACUAUUCUGUCACAAAUUUCAGUUUUUUCAACUGUGUUGAUCUGCUUUUAUAGGAUAAUAAAAAUGGAAGGCGCAACAGUCUGCCUGUAAGUUUAUUUGCUAGGUUGUUUUAACUAUGAAUAAUUUUAGUAUUACAAUAAUAUGAUGAAAUCAUAUUUCUGGCCAAAACUUUGUUGCUUCUAUUCCUGAUUUUCUACUUCACUAGGGAUGGAGUCAAUGUUCCCGGUGGCACAGAAUUUUCUUAUAUUAAUUUUGCUUAGAUAUACAAUUUGGGUUUUCUUAUAUCUAGUUGUUACUUUUUCUGAAAAUUCAUUUCCUUGUGAAAUAGUUACUAUGUCUUUGCGAGUUGCAUGGAGACCAAUCUCAAGGGCCUUGUCUGGAUAGGGCUGGAUCCUACAGGAUUCUCUCUCUUACUUGGGUGGGGAAAAAAAUGCAGAUGGUAGGAUUGGCUGUUUGGGUGAAUCUUAUUUUGAUAUUUAACCUGUUGGGAAGGCCUAAUGUCACCGGAUAAAAGUAAAAUAUCUCAUGCAGUCUUCAUUUUGUUUUUUUCUCCUGUGCUUUUGGAUGUCUUAAAAACCAUAGGUGUUUCUCGUCUACCUUCAGUCACCACGCUCUCCUUCAUGCUUUGAUGAUCUGAGCACUGCAUGCGGAGAAUUUGUAAAUUAAAAAAAUGAGAUCCAACUAUAAUAAUUUCAUAGUAGUAACUUUUUUUCGCAUAGCAACAGUCUUUCACUUUCUUCUGUCUGUUUUGAGGUGUAAAAUUGGAUGCCACCCUUCUCCCGUGUGAUCAUUGCUGGUGUUCGCCAUGCCUUCUCUUUUCCGUCUAAUGUUGGAGGAUAUAUUAUGUUGACUGGUCUGGUGGCGUGAAUUCCGGAAGCGAUUCUCCAUCAGAUGCCCUUUUUUCUGUUCUAGCCAUUGGGAUCUCCCCCAUCACUCUGCAAAAGUCAAAUAAAGUACGACAGUACAAGCCCAAAGUAUUGCAUACAUCUCUUGGAGACCUGAAGUUGAAUGCAGUGAUGAUACCGACCAUCACGCAUCAGUGGUUAAAGAACUAAAAACCUUAUGGAGGAUGUAACGUGUAAGAAAUUGAGCACUAGUGGUCAGGUUCCACAAGUGGGACACGAAUUGGACCGGUCACUUCAUCCUGUUUCUUGACGUUGCAAGCUAAGAUGGGUUGGUUGAUCUUGGACGAAGUGGUGGUGGAAUAUGUGCUUGCGGGGCGGGCUUGGCUACGAGUGCCGUGAUUGAACGAACUGCAUCAAGAUCAAACAGAAAAGCAGCUUUGAGUUGCCAAAUGGCGUCGAGUAUGUUUGAGCUUUAGAACGAGAAUAAGACAAUGGAUGGCCAUUCUCAAGUUCAAGGUGAAACAAAUUGCCCACCCAUGAUUCGACAGGAGUUGUUACUAAGGCCAAAGCCAGAAGACUUGCUCUGCCACAUGGAACUCGGAACCACAUGAAGUAUCCUCGGGGCUCAAGAAGUUGCAGUGUUUAACAUCGUCAACAUCACCAAUCUGUGAGUGGUCAGAAUGAUGGAGUCUGAAAGCAUUUGAGUAACUGUUGAGCUCCAUGAGCAUGGAGCAAUCACCUUCAUGAGCGUGAUGGGGGCUCUCUGAAUCUAAUAUGGCGCUAUUGGCAGAGCUAAUGUCUUCUUGCUUGCAUAGCAUGGUCUGGCCAUGCAAUUUCUUCACCUCAAAGGCCAAAGUGGAAUCUAAAUUCUGCAAAUUAUCAGGGACUCAUAAUCCUUUUCUAUCUGCUUCGUCUUCCAUCUUGCACGGCGGUUCUGAAACCACACAGCAAUCUGCCUGGGCUUUAGUCCGAGAACCUUUGCAAUCUGAAGCUUCCUCUCAGGCUCAAGCUUGUUUUCCAACUCAAAGCUCUUCUCAAGGAAUUGAACUUGACAUGUAGUUAGCCGCCUCUUCUUGUCUGGCUGAUGAGGAUACUCACCUGAGUCAUCAUCGCCGAUUUCAUCCAACUCGACUGGCCUAAACAAGGGUCUCUCGAGGCUGUUCCCAUGACCAUCUUUGAGAUCUGCAAGAGACCAUGAGCCUGAAGCAGAACCUUACACUUCAAACUUACUAUGGAAAGGUAAAUCAGAAAUCACAGAGGAAGAUAUUCUAGGCAUCAAGUUCAGCAAACAAGACUGAUUGCAACUAAAUCAGCACUUACUGAGAUACAAGUUUAUAGGAAGAGAAAGAAGUCAGCUUGCUAGUGGAAGUGGCAAGAGGAGAAUGACAACCAUAAACCCAACCAGGGGAAAACAGAGUAAAUGCAAAGGGAGGUGAAUACCAAGAGAGCCGCCUGAAGGCGUUCCCGGAGCAAACAGAGGCCCAGAGAACUCUUUGUACAUCCCCUGGCUCUGCAGCAAAACCGCCAUGUUUGAGCUCCCAUGAUGCCUCUUCCCCACCAUUUCUCCCACUUUGCUUUCACCGCAAGAACGAAUAAAGAGAUCUUUCUUCUUGUUUUGGGGGUUCUUUACUCCCUUCUCUCAGAGGCAGGUUACGAUUCUACCCGGGGUGGAUUGGAAGCAGCUGGGCAUGUUUUCUCCCACUAAAAGAACUUGUGACGGAAGAAGCUGGUGAUCAUGAUGACAGAGACAUGGGAAGAGGUGUGGAAGAAAGGGCCACUGAGACCCAUCUCUUUUUCUUCUGUCUCUCUAUCAGGAAAAUCGAGAGUCUGUUGUGCGUGUGAGAGAGAGCUGGUUUCAAUCUGAAGGGAGACUUAAUGGUGUGAUGAGUCCCAGAAUUCUCCUUUUGUUCUCAAAAAGCUUGGUUCUACUUGGAAGCAGAGUUCCAACGGUGGAGAAGGGAAAAGAUGUUGAGUUUGGUUUUGAUCUCUCUGUGGCUCCUCGAUCUACUCUUUUUCUCUCCUUUGUGAAGGGGUUUGAGGGAAUUAUAUAGUGAAGAACAAGAACAAGAUGCCACUUGUAAACGAUCAUGACAGGAAUAUCCCCAUGGCGGUCGCUUUCCUUGUUGUCA